AUGGAAGCUCCAGCAUGGCUCCCCCUCUUCCUGUUACUCUGGCUCCCAGGUACAACUGGAGAAAUUGUGAUGACACAGACUCCAGCCUCCCUGGCUCUGUCUCCAGGAGAAACAGCCACGCUCAGCUGCAGGGCCAGUCAGAGCAUUAGCAGCUACCUAGCUUGGUACCAGCAGAAACCUGGGCAGGCUCCCAGGCUCCUCAUCUAUAGUGCAUCUACCAGGACCACUGGAGUUCCGGCCCGGUUCACUGGCAGUGGGUCAGGAACAGACUUUACUCUCACAAUCAGCAGCCUGGAGCCUGAAGAUGUUGCAGUUUAUUAUGGUCAACAAGCUUACUCUGGGUUCCACUGUAACUCAGUCCCCAGCAAAAACCUUACCAGUCUCAUCUGCCUUCACUUUCUUCCUUCCCUGGGGGUAUAA